AGACAGAGAGAGAGAGAGAGAGAGAGAGAGAGAGAGAGAGACAAAGAGAGAAAAAGCUAGCACUCUUUUUUAUUCCCUCGUAAAGGAAGAUAUCAAAACAAAGAGAAGAAAUACUUUUUGCACUGAUAGACGGAAUCUAGGAUGGCUCAGCGGUGGUCCUUGCCUUGCAAACAGGCUUUCGGGUAGCAAGCCUAUUUGGUACACGUGUCUUUAGACGUUGAAUCGCGGUGAUCCACCCAUUCGUCGGCAAAGAGAGGAGAGAGAUCGAGGAUCGCGACAAAGAGGGACCCAUGACACGCUUUGCCACGUGACCAACGAUGCCGGCUAGUUCACCUUUUCUCUCGCCUCAUUCUGUUCGAGGUUUAUCAUGGAACUGGAAUCGUAUAUGUAUGUGUGUCUGUAAGAGAAAGAGAGGGUGAAAAAAGAGGUUAAAAUAAAAUUUCGACGGCAGUAACAAUGAACCGCAGGUACGAUCGGUAGACAAACGUUCGCUAUUAAGCCUUCACCAAUCGGAAAAGAUUGUGAUAAUCAUUUCGGAGAAGAACGAAGCUGAUUGGACGGAGUCCACGCCCAGGGGUUGGUAUCGAUCAUCCCCCAACAGGGGGAUUUCUUAUAUAAACCAGUCUCUCUAGGGACACCGACGAUAGUCGAAAUUCAUCCGAUGUCCGUGAAGGAAUUAAUUCGCGAGUGGUAGUUUAAAAGUGAUCUUUUGAAUGAUAUUUCGA